rnacentral:tRNA from 1 species
GGCCGGUUAGCUCAGUCAGUUGAGCGUGGAGCUAACAACGCUAAGGUCACGGGUUCGAUUCCCGUUCGGUCC